rfam:Sphaerobolus stellatus SS14 unplaced genomic scaffold SPHSTscaffold_1, whole genome shotgun sequence.
GCCCACUUAGCACAGUGGUAGUGCGUGUCACUCGUAAUUGAAUUUAUCAAAUCCGAGUAUAUGACAAGGUCGUUCGUUCAAUCCGGGCAGUGGGCA